rnacentral:lncRNA from 1 species
UUAUUUGUCAAAGACAAUCGAUAAAAAUCAAUUAUAAAAUCAAGGUAUUACAAUUCAGAAGUAGUGUUGACAAACGCGUAACGUAUAAUAAUAGUUUAGGAUUUUGUAUUACUAUCGUCGUUGGCGGUUGGAAAGAAAAUAUAGUGAUUUAUUCUUCAAUUAGAAAAUUUCUCUGAAAAGAGAGAGUGGUUUGAAAGUGUUCGCCAUUCUUCUUCGGUGUGAGAAGUCUUUGGGGAAGGGGACGGAAGAGAAAAAAGGAGAUUCGUUCUUUUGGCCUGAUCUUUCCCCUAACUCGACCACCUAAAAUAUCUCGUUUAUUUCGUACGAUAGAAAAUAAUAUCAGAAGAGAGAAAUAUUCUGUUCGAAGGCGCCGAUUAUGGUAAU